ACUGAAGAACCAGAGCUUCUUUCUGGGCUAAUUUUCCCAACAGUUCACCAGAGAUUUCUUUGAGGUUCGGUAAUUCUCUCUAUUUCUUUUUCGUUUUCCUUUUCUGGGUAAGUUUUAUUUUCGUUGAAUAAAGCAUUUUUUUUCUCGCUUGUUAGUUGUUACAUGAGCUUGUGAUAUAGCUACAGUUAAUUUAGGACCGGUUAAUGCAAAGAACUGAAAAUCAGAAAACCAAGGUCCACUAUGAAAUAUAUCAUAUUGGUUAGAAGGGAUGUUUUAUCAGUGGAGAAUUAGAAAUAGCUGAGUAAGAUGAUAUUAUGAUGUAAUGAGCCUCUGAGGGUUGUGAACUCCCCAGAUGGUGGAAAGCUAUAGAAAUUUAGAAAGUCCACUAUGUAUACAUACUAUAUUUUGACACUCCUUAGUAAAAUUUCUGGCUCCGCCACUAGUGGUGGCUGGCGACAGCGACGAGUAGGAACUUAUAUGAGGUAACUGCGAAAGCAGGAGAAGAAACAUUUCACAAUAUGGAUAAUUGGUUGGCACCCAAGCUUUGGUUCAGUGGUAACGAUGCAAUGUAGGAUAUGUGAGUAUGGUACACUUUUACGAGCUUGAACCCUACUGUUGACUGAAAUAUGGUUUUUUAGUGGGAGUAGGGUAGAGCCCUCGGGGCAUACUCUUCGAGUUUUGAACCUGUGGAUCUACUGGAGUUGGGUCCGCUAACUCUUUCUCCGUUGUUCGUAAAUAAGACGGAUAAUUGGGUGGGAAACAUAGGGUAGCAUGUGGGGGGUUUGCAGAAGCUGAAUUAUUUAACCAUAGGCUUGAGCAGUGACUGGGCUACCAUGUUAGAUUUAGCCGAUAGAGGCAAACUGUUACUCCUAUUUUGUAUCAGGAAUUAAAGGGGAGUAUCCAUUUGAUAUGAUGCUUCUUCUCAAGUACCAUAUAUAUGUUGAUUAUGCUCCAUUUGACCACAUAUUUGAUUCCUCAUUUCCUCUAAAUCUGCUCCAGACAACUGAAGCAACACUAUUGGCAUGCUCAAUUAUCUCUUAGCUUUGCUAUUUUAGGCUCUUUCACACGUCUUGAUAAUAUUUUCUUUGUUCAUUAAUAAAUCGAGUAAUUAAACUCAUGUUUCUAUAAUCAAUUCAAUCCCAAGAGGAAAUCGUUGAUGCAUAAAAAAUUGUUAAAAGUCUAGAAGAUCUACCUCUGUUGUGGUCUGGAUUAUAAGAUGCUACAAUCCUACCUUCCAAAUUGAUUCAGAUGUCAACUUAUAAUAUAAAAUUUGUACCAUUCGAGUAAGGUUAUGCAUGAUUCAAGUUGGGAAGCUAGAUCACGCCAAUCCUACUAUUUGUGCCGAUCUAUGAGUUUUCUUCGCUUUGAUGUUUUAUUCAAAACUGUAGCUUCUAUAAUGCAUACUACAAAAUCUGUCAAAAUUCACUUAGUUACAUUGUCUGAAAAACAUGGUGUCUGGACCAGCGGACCUUCAUUUCCUGGCAUUAGUAAUAGCAGUUAAGAGGGCAGAAGGUAUAGCUGGCUGAAUAACCUAGAGCGCUGGCAUUAUAAGUAAUUGAUAAUUUGCUUAAUAUGGCACUAUUGGAUUUCUUAACAUUGUACAAAGUUAGACUACUGUAUGGAGAUUACACAAAAUACAUCUAGUCAAUUGAAGGGGAGCCUUGGCGUAAUUGGUAAAGUUGCUGCCAUGUGACCAGAGUAGGUCACGGGUUCGAGCCGUGGAAACAGCCUCUUGCAGAAAUGUAAGGCUGCAUACAGUAGACCCUUGUGGUCCAGCUCUUCCCCAGACCCCGGGCAUAACGCGAGCUUAGUGCACCAGGCUGCCCUUUAGUCAAUUGUACAAGCUUAAUUUUUCCAGAAAGCCAUAAAUGUCAAUCUGGGAUUUUAGAUAUUUAUCGCUUGCUUUACAAGUUUGUAUACAGAGUAAUUGAAACUUGAUGUUGAAAAAUCUUCACCUAGCAAUAUCCUUCUUUCAUUCCAACCAGAUAAUCCAAAAUAAGCAUUUCGGAGACCCUCCAAAUUUCCAUGUUUUCUCCAACACCCAAACUGUUCCAAGUCAAGAGCACAUCUUAACUAACUGGGGCUUGCUUAUCCCCAGUAGUUACAAGUCCAUAGACAAUGGAUUAAGAUAUUGUUGCUUCUUUAACAAAAGAUGCAGGAGUCAACAUGGAUUUUGUGCCUCUUUCUGGGUACUUUGGUGCAGCUUUCCCAGCGAACAGUUGCCUCCUUGCUGAAUAAAGUUUUUCAGAAUGUGCUACAAGGGGGCUCAGCUCUGUUCUAACUAAUUAUAGCACUUUAUAGAAUUAGUUAAUAGAGAAUUUCUGAUUGCUUCUUCGCUCCACAAAUGAACUGUCAGCUCCAAAAAGCGGAAUAUGAAACUACAGAAUAUACUCCCCAGUCGCUCUUAAACAGGAUGGAAAAUCAAUUUGCCUCCUCAUAGUGAACCAUACCUCGGUCUCUGCACUUUUUGGGGCCAUCAAGUAGUAGUAAUAAACAUGUUAUAUGAUUACUCUCACUGUUACACUACAUUCUCAUAUUAUUACUUCCUUUUUACCCAUGUUGAUUGGAUUAACUCAUAUCUAACAGUUAUUGUUUUGUUGACUUAUUUCGAGAUAGUCAAACAAUAAAUUUUUACCUACUUUUCUUUUAUUCUAAAAAGUUUAAUAUAUAUAAAUGUACAAAUUUAGUUCAAAGUAACACCGUUACCAAUAUAACCCAUGUAAAUUUGUGAUUCAAUAUGCCAUUACGUGAAUUGCACUUGCCUGAUGAUAAGAUAUAAAGAGUUUAUUUUGCUGAAGCUAACUCAUUCUUUGCCUGGAUGCAUGGGAACCGAAUGGAGUCCACUUUGGAGAUGGGAGUUCAACUUUCCUUGAACUCUAUUGGCUGCUGAUUACUUCUCCCAUGUCCAGCCGAAUGGUGCUUCGCUGCACCAACUCAUUUGCAUUAUCUCAACCUAAAUUUAAUGGGUGUUUCUUUCCGUUGAUAUACCACAUAAAUGUGUCAGCCUUGACGAGGCAUGUGCCCGCAACUGCUCUCUCCUUUUGUCAGCUUCAGGCAUCAAAACUUCAUGAUAGUCCAGUUACUGUUGCAAGUGAUGUUAGAUAUGGUGGUAAACAAAUUAUAAGUGUCGAUUCACCACUUUAUGACUACAUAUUGUCAAACGUUAGAGAACCAAAGAUUUUGCGUGAACUUAGGGAGGAGACAGCAACAAUGCGAGGCAGUCAGAUGCAGGUGUCACCGGAUCAAGCACAACUACUUGCUAUGCUCGUCCAGAUUCUUGGGGCAAAAAGGUGCAUUGAAGUGGGCACGUAUACUGGAUAUUCAUCCUUGGCUGUUGCUUUGGUCCUUCCAGAAGAGGGUCAUUUAGUUGCUUGUGAAAGAGAUGGCAAAUCAAUUGAAGUUGCAAAAAGAUAUUAUGGCCAAGCUGGCGUCUCACAUAAGGUGGACGUGAGACAUGGUCUGGCAGCAGAUACUUUGAAGUCUUUAAUUCAUAAUGGUGAAAGUUGCAGAUAUGAUUUUGCUUUUGUUGAUGCAGAAAAGAGAAUGUAUCAAGAGUACUUUGAGUUGCUGCUACAACUGGUGAGAGUUGGGGGUCUUAUUGUAGUGGAUAAUGUCCUAUGGCAUGGAAGAGUUGCCGAUCCACUGGUGAUUGAUUCCAAGACUCUUAGCAUCAGAAAUUUUAAUCAAAACUUGAUGGAGGAUAAACGCGUUGACAUCAGUAUGGUGCCUAUUGGUGAUGGUAUGACGAUCUGCCGAAAAAGAUAAAUCCUAAUACAAAGAGAUUGGAUGUUGAACUGCUCCAUACAGCCAUUUCAUGGUGGUUUGUUUAUUCUUUGGUGUAAGCUUCCACAUGCGGAGUCUUGGAGCAAUAGUAAAGUUAUAUCCGUGUGACUUAUAGGUCACGGGUUCGAGCCGUGGAAUCAGCCACUAAUGUUUGCAUUAGGGUAGGUUGUCUAUGUGUGGCCCUUUCCCGGAUCAUGCGUGAACGUGGAAUGCCUCGUGCACCAGGCUGCCCUUGGAGGCUGAAGUUUGUUUUGCGUUGAAGAUGGAAUUUCUCAUCAUUCUACUGAUACAGUUCAUAAAAAUCCUUCCGAUCUUUGUGGUUGGUACAAAGCAUGAUAGCAAAGGAUUAACCCUAAUUCAUAAGAACGCAGCAUGAAGAUAUGACAAAUGAUGCGAUAACAAUUACAGUACACCCUCCAGAUUGGGCUAGAGGAUCAUCUCCUUGAUUUUUAUCUGUUACCUGGUCUUAUUCAAAAGAAGAAAAACAACAAGUUAUCUGCUAUAUUCUUGAAUGUCACGAGGCUGCUUCCGAGUGACAUUUCAUGAUUAUCUUGUAGAUUGACAGAGUGAAGACAGCAGCAACAAAUACAUUCUUAUUUUCAAAUUUGCUCUAGUAUGGACAGGAAACGAGAAUUCAUUAUUACAAGAACACAUUGAUCUUACAUGGAGUUACUAGAAUAACCCCAGCAGCAGCAGAGCCAGCCUUGCUUUGGGAGACAAUAGAAUGUGUUCAUUUGCGUUUUUACUAGCUAACUUCCUAGGUAUAGCAUAAGCAACAAUACAAACUAACAGAUUCUUACACAUGAUGACUAUGCUAAUUGAUUAUAAGUCAUUAUUUGUCGA